CCUGUACUCCCUCCGUUCGGAAUUACUCGUCCAAGAAAUGAAUGUAUCUAGAUGUAUUUUAGUUAUAAAUACAUUCACUUUUGUGACAAGUAAUUCCGAACGAAGGGAGUACUAG
rfam:Triticum aestivum genome assembly, contig: Triticum_aestivum_CS42_TGACv1_scaffold_031019_1BL